CACGUAGGGCGCAAGCGUUGUCCGGAAUUAUUGGGCGUAAAGGGCUCGUAGGCGGUUUGUCGCGUCGGGAGUGAAAACUCAGGGCUUGACCCUGAGCCUGCUUCCGAUACGGGCAGACUAGAGGUAUGCAGGGGAGAACGGAAUUCCUGGUGUAGCGGUGAAAUGCGCAGAUAUCAGGAGGAACACCGGUGGCGAAGGCGGUUCUCUGGGCAUUACCUGACGCUGAGGAGCGAAAGUGUGGGGAGCGAACAGG
rnacentral:rRNA from 1 species